UUUAUAUCUCCACCUGUGCACUUUUUGUAGACCUUUCAGGUCUAUGUUUCUUCAUUUACCCCAAUGUAUGUUAAUAGAAUGUUGUGCCUAUAUAAUCUAUACAACUUUCAGCAACGGAUCUCUUGGCUCUCGCAUCGAUGAAGAACGCAGCGAAAUGCGAUAAGUAAUGUGAAUUGCAGAAUUCAGUGAAUCAUCGAAUCUUUGAACGCACCUUGCGCUCCUUGGUAUUCCGAGGAGCAUGCCUGUUUGAGUGUCAUUAAUAUAUAUAUCAAACUUCUCUUGUUGAGUGGUUUGGAUGUGGGGGUUUGCUGGCCUCUUAAAGGGUUCAGCUCCUCUGAAAUGCAUUAGCAGAACAACCUGUUCAUUGGUGUGAUAACUAUCUACGCUAUUGAAUGUGAGGGGCAGUUCAGCUUUCUAACAGUCCUUGGACAAUUCAUCAUUAAUGUGACCUCAAAUCAGGUAGGACUACCCGCUGAACUUAAGCAUAUCAAUAAGCGGAGGAA
rnacentral:rRNA from 1 species